rnacentral:rRNA from 1 species
GUCAGCAGCUAUAUCACCCUGCAGCUCACAACUAGCAACAUCUGAAGCUAAGUAGGUGUGAGCCUGGUCAGUACCUGGAUGUGAGACCUCCUGGACAGUUAAGGUUGCUGCUGUUA